GACGAACGCUGGCGGCGUGCUUAACACAUGCAAGUCGAACGGAAAGGUCCUGCUUUUGUGGGGUGCUCGAGUGGCGAACGGGUGAGUAACACGUGAGUAACCUGCACUUGACUUUGGGAUAACUUCAGGAAACUGGGGCUAAUACCGGAUAGGAGCUCCUGCUGCAUGGUGGGGGUUGGAAAGUUUCGGCGGUUGGGGAUGGACUCGCGGCUUAUCAGCUUGUUUGUGGGGUAGUGGCUUACCAAGGCUUUGACGGGUAGCCGGCCUGAGAGGGUGACCGGCCACAUUGGGACUGAGAUACGGCCCAGACUCCUACGGGAGGCAGCAGUGGGGAAUAUUGCACAAUGGGCGGAAGCCUGAUGCAGCAACGCCGCGUGCGGGAUGACGGCCUUCGGGUUGUAAACCGCUUUCGCCUGUGACGAAGCGUGAGUGACGGUAAUGGGUAAAGAAGCACCGGCUAACUACGUG
rnacentral:rRNA from 1 species